rnacentral:rRNA from 1 species
GACGAACGCUGGCGGCGUGCUUAACACAUGCAAGUCGAACGGAAAGGCCCUGCUUUUGUGGGGUGCUCGAGUGGCGAACGGGUGAGUAACACGUGAGUAACCUGCCCUUGACUUUGGGAUAACGUCAGGAAACUGGGGCUAAUACCGGAUAGGAGCUCCUGCUGCAGGGGGGGGGUUGGAAAGUUUCGGCGGUUGGGGAUGGACGCGCGGCUUAUCAGCUUGUUGGGGGGGUAGUGGCUUACCAAGGCUUUGACGGGUAGCCGGCCUGAGCGGGUGACCGGCCACAAUGGGACUGAGAUACGGCCCAGACUCCUACGGGGGGCAGCAGUGCGGAAUAUUGCACAAUGGGCGGGAGCCUGAUGCAGCAACGCCGCGUGCGGGAUGACGGCCUUCGGGUUGUAAACCGCUUUCGCCUGUGACGAAGCGUGAGUGACGGUAAUGGGUAAAGAAGCACCGGCUAACUACGUG